CUCGGAUCCGUCGCCGGCGUAAAUCGCCCCCAUCCGGCCGAUCCUCCCCGAUCGCCGCCACAGAAACCCUAAUCCUCUUCCGAUUUGUCAGCGGCGAGCGAUUACCGGCCGGCGAUCAUGUUCAAUAGGCUGUUCGGGAAGCCCAAGGAGCAGGCGAAUGCCUUGGCUACGCUCGACAAGCUAAAUGAGACUCUUGAGAUGCUAGAAAAGAAGGAAAAAGUUUUACUGAAGAAGGCUGGUGCUGAAAUUGAGAAGGCUAAGGAGUUCACCAGACAGAAGAACAAAAGGGCUGCAAUACAAUGU
rnacentral:misc_RNA from 1 species